ensembl:rRNA 5S_rRNA 5S ribosomal RNA
AUCUACAGCCAUACCACCCUGAAUGUGCCUGAUCUCAUCUAAUCUCAGAAGCUAAGCAGGGUCGGGCCUGGUUAGUACUUGGAUGAGAGACUGCCUGGGAAUACUGGGCACCAUGGGCU